rnacentral:rRNA from 1 species
UCAGAUUGAACGCUGGCGGCAGGCCUAACACAUGCAAGUCGAGCGGUAGCACAGAGAGCUUGCUCUCGGGUGACGAGCGGCGGACGGGUGAGUAAUGUCUGGGAAACUGCCUGAUGGAGAGGGAUAACUACUGGAAACGGUAGCUAAUACCGCAUAAUGUCGCAAGACCAAAGUGGGGGACCUUCGGGCCUCAUGCCAUCAGAUGUGCCCAGAUGGGAUUAGCUAGUAGGUGGGGUAACGGCUCACCUAGGCGACGAUCCCUAGCUGGUCUGAGAGGAUGACCAGCCACACUGGAACUGAGACACGGUCCAGACUCCUACGGGAGGCAGCAGUGGGGAAUAUUGCACAAUGGGCGCAAGCCUGAUGCAGCCAUGCCGCGUGUGUGAAGAAGGCCUUCGGGUUGUAAAGCACUUUCAGCGGGGAGGAAGGCGGUGAGGUUAAUAACCUCACCGAUUGACGUUACCCGCAGAAGAAGCACCGGCUAACUCCGUGCCAGCAGCCGCGGUAAUACGGAGGGUGCAAGCGUUAAUCGGAAUUACUGGGCGUAAAGCGCACGCAGGCGGUCUGUCAAGUCGGAUGUGAAAUCCCCGGGCUCAACCUGGGAACUGCAUUCGAAACUGGCAGGCUAGAGUCUUGUAGAGGGGGGUAGAAUUCCAGGUGUAGCGGUGAAAUGCGUAGAGAUCUGGAGGAAUACCGGUGGCGAAGGCGGCCCCCCUGGACAAAGACUGACGCUCAGGUGCGAAAGCGUGGGGAGCAAACAGGAUUAGAUACCCUGGUAGUCCACGCCGUAAACGAUGUCGAUUUGGAGGUUGUGCCCUUGAGGCGUGGCUUCCGGAGCUAACGCGUUAAAUCGACCGCCUGGGGAGUACGGCCGCAAGGUUAAAACUCAAAUGAAUUGACGGGGGCCCGCACAAGCGGUGGAGCAUGUGGUUUAAUUCGAUGCAACGCGAAGAACCUUACCUGGUCUUGACAUCCACAGAACUUUCCAGAGAUGGAUUGGUGCCUUCGGGAACUGUGAGGCAGGUGCUGCAUGGCUGUCGUCAGCUCGUGUUGUGAAAUGUUGGGUUAAGUCCCGCAACGAGCGCAACCCUUAUCCUUUGUUGCCAGCGGUUCGGCCGGGAACUCAAAGGAGACUGCCAGUGAUAAACUGGAGGAAGGUGGGGAUGACGUCAAGUCAUCAUGGCCCUUACGACCAGGGCUACACACGUGCUACAAUGGCAUAUACAAAGAGAAGCGACCUCGCGAGAGCAAGCGGACCUCAUAAAGUAUGUCGUAGUCCGGAUUGGAGUCUGCAACUCGACUCCAUGAAGUCGGAAUCGCUAGUAAUCGUAGAUCAGAAUGCUACGGUGAAUACGUUCCCGGGCCUUGUACACACCGCCCGUCACACCAUGGGAGUGGGUUGCAAAAGAAGUAGGUAGCUUAACCUUCGGGAGGGCGCUUACCACUUUGUGAUUCA